CAUACCCGACCCCGAUGGGUGAAACGUGUACACGCGCAACAUCUGACGGCCGCCUGGUCGAGUGCGCCUCUCCACUGCGACGGCUCGUUCACGGCUCGGCUUGAAAGGAUUCCACGCACCACACAAGAAAACCCUCGUCCACGCCGUCGUGGUCGCCGCGUGCGCUAGCGGCCCCCUCGUCCGCCGCUGCCACGCCCCGGAUCGGCGACCGAUGCCACAACGUUUUUGCCUGAGACUCCACCCUCCCCGCCCCAGUCACGCUCAGCAAGAAGCAGCAGAAGAAGGCGGCGCAGCGCCAGCGCCAGCAGCAGCCUGCGGUAGCCGGCAAGGAGACGGAGCUCUUCGCCCUGACUUCAAUGCCAGGUUCAGCCCAGGGAGAUAUAAUCAAGCAACACAUGCUCUUUACUGUAUCUAAAAUCAGAAUGCCAAGACAGGAGCAGAAGCUGGGUAUACGGCCACCAACUCGAAGAUAAAAUCAGGGUGGUUCCAUGACAAAUGCUCAAACAUGUGUAUAUAAAUUGAAAGACUUAUAGUUUGAUGAUUCUAGCCUUUCUUUGUAAUCUGAAAGUUUGCGAAGAUUGUAAUAGAAACAUAGAUCCCUUUGUAAUCUAUUCGGAACCCUUUUUUGUCGUUUAACAAGCAUCUCAUGAUAGGAACAAGAGAAACAAUCUCAGUUUUGAAGUCU